GGAAGUAAAAGUCGUAACAAGGUUUCCGUAGGUGAACCUGCGGAAGGAUCAUUACUGAUUUAGCGAACCGAGCGUUAGCGAGGUUUUGCGAUCAACUUGUAUUUAAAACCCACCCUUCAAUAUAUAAAAUUUGUAUUAAUGAUAAAUUAAAAGAUCACUUUCAACAACGGAUCUCUUGGCUCUCGCAUCGAUGAAGAACGUAGCGAAGUGCGAUAAGUAAUGUGAAUUGCAGUAUUCCGUGAAUCAUCGAACCUUUGAACGCAUAUUGCACUUUCUGGUAUUCCGGAAAGUAUGCCUGUUUGAGGGUCAGUUAAAUAAAAAUCGGUGUUGUUGCCGCUUUCCGUGGUGACGCGUCGGAAUUGAGUCGUCUUCGGUUAAGUGACUUAAAAUUUUAUAUGAUUUUCGAACGUAUUUAAAUUUAUUUGAACGUUUGAUAUCGAAUGCUUAUUAGGUUCGGUCAUCCUCAUGACUCGCGCCUAUAAUUUUUCAUUAAAUGACCUCAAAUCAGGUAAGAAUACCCGCUGAACUUAAGCAUAUCAAUAAGCGGAGGA
rnacentral:rRNA from 1 species